GACGAACGCUGGCGGCGUGCCUAAUACAUGCAAGUAGGACGCAGUUGCGAACGGGUGAGUAACGCGUAGGUAACUACCUAUUAGAGGGGGAUAACUAUUGGAAACGAUAGCUAAUACCGCAUACUAGUAGAUGGACCUGCGUUGUAUUAGCUAGUAGGUAGGGUAAUGGCCUACCUAGGCAACGGUACAUAGCCGACCUGAGGAGGUGAUCGGCCACAAUGGGAAUGGGGAAAGGCUCAAACUCCUACGGGGGGCAGGAAGAGGGAAUCUUCGGCAAUGGGGGGAACGCUGACCGAGCAAAGCCGCGUGAGUGAAGAAGGUUUUCGGAUCGUAAAGCUCCGUUGUUAAGGAAGCGGUACUUAACCAGAAAGGGACGGCUAACUACGUGCCAGCAGCCGCGGUAAUUC
rnacentral:rRNA from 1 species